rnacentral:rRNA from 1 species
AUUGAACGCUGGCGGCAGGCCUAACACAUGCAAGUCGAACGAGUGGCGGACGGGUGAGUAAUGUCUGGAAAACUGCCUGAUGGAGGGGUAUCACUACUGGAAACGGUCGCUUAUACCGCAUACCAUCAGAUGUUCCCAGAUGGGAUUAGCUUGUUGGUGGGGUAACGGCGAACCAAGGCGACGAUCCCUAGCUGGUCUGAGAGGAUGACCAGGCACACUGGAACUGAGACACGGUCCAGACUCCUACGGGAGGCAGCAGGGGGGAAUAUUGCAAAAUGGGCGAAAGCCUGAUGCAGCCAUGCCGCGUGGAUGAAGAAGGCCUUCGGGUUGUAAAGUACUUUAAGCGGGGAGGCGUUACCCGCAGAAGAAGCACCGGCUAACUCCGGGCCAGCAGCCGCGGUAAUUC